GCUCUCUUAGUUCAAUGGAUAGAACAAGCCCCUCCUAAGGGUUAGAUGCUGGUUCGACUCCAGCAGAGAGCA
rnacentral:tRNA from 5 species